rfam:Myotis brandtii contig165518, whole genome shotgun sequence.
GCCAGUGUGGCUCAGUGGUAGAGCAUCGGCACAAAGGGUCGCGGGUUCGAUUCCCAGUCAAGGGCA